rnacentral:rRNA from 1 species
UUAGUAACGGCGAGUGAAGCGGCAAAAGCUCAAAUUUGAAAUCUGGUACCUUCGGUGCCCGAGUUGUAAUUUGGAGAGGGCAACUUUGGGGCCGUUCCUUGUCUAUGUUCCUUGGAACAGGACGUCAUAGAGGGUGAGAAUCCCGUGUGGCGAGGAGUGCGGUUCUUUGUAAAGUGCCUUCGAAGAGUCGAGUUGUUUGGGAAUGCAGCUCUAAGUGGGUGGUAAAUUCCAUCUAAAGCUAAAUAUUGGCGAGAGACCGAUAGCGAACAAGUACAGUGAUGGAAAGAUGAAAAGAACUUUGAAAAGAGAGUGAAAAAGUACGUGAAAUUGUUGAAAGGGAAGGGCAUUUGAUCAGACAUGGUGUUUUGUGCCCUCUGCUCCUUGUGGGUAGGGGAAUCUCGCAUUUCACUGGGCCAGCAUCAGUUUUGGUGGCAGGAUAAAUCCAUAGGAAUGUAGCUUGCCUCGGUAAGUAUUAUAGCCUGUGGGAAUACUGCCAGCUGGGACUGAGGACUGCGACGUAAGUCAAGGAUGCUGGCAUAAUGGUUAUAUGCCGCCCGUCUUGAAACACGGA